UACGUAGGCAGCGAGCGUUGUUCGGAGUUACUGGGCGUAAAGGGUGUGUAGGCGGUUGUUUAAGUUUGGUGUGAAAUCUCCCGGCUCAACCGGGAGGGUGCGCCGAAUACUGAAUGACUAGAGUGCGGGAGAGGAAAGUGGAAUUCCUGGUGUAGCGGUGAAAUGCGCAGAUAUCGGGAAGAACACCUACGGCGAAGGCAGCUCUCUGGGACGGUACCGACGCUGAGACGCGAAAGCGUGGGGAGCGAACAGG
rnacentral:rRNA from 1 species